UCAGCUAAACAGCUGUCGGAAAUGAAUAACCAGCUUUCCUCCAUGACCAAGGAGAGAGACGUUCUGAAUGCAAAUCUUUCGGCUGUGAGUAGCCAACUUUCUUCGAUGACCAAGGAGAGAGACCUGUUGACUGAAAAGACCAAAGAGCUGAAAAGGCUGCUCUGUUUGUCCAAUCAGAGUCUGCUUCCUGGGAUGAAGCCAGAAAGGACUGCAGAGACAGAGGAGCAGAUCUGGUGGUUAUUGACAGCCCAGAGGAUCAGACUCCAGUCUCUAAUAUUGCCACAACAGGAGCUUGGAUUGGUUUGAAUGACAAAUUACAGGAGGGAACAUGGAAAUGGGUAGAUGGAACUCCACUGACUCUGAUACCUGCUGGAAACUGGGAAGAAGAUCAACCUGAUAAUGGUGGUGGAAGUUCACAAUUGGGUGAAUUUUAUCAGUUCAUGUCAGAACUGAUACGAAAAAGUCCUGGAAUGAUCACUCAUGUUCAACAUCUUUUAAGUGGAUCUGUGAAAAAACACCAUAAAACCCCUGUGCAGUUUCUUAAAGAUGAUCUAAUUAUAAUUGCUUUGCAGUUUUAGCUUUGAUUGUAAUAUGGUAGCUUCUUCUAUCAUGAUGAGGUAAUUUGUUGUAACUAAAAAUUUGCCAGUUUUUUUUAUGUCCGUGAAGAGUGAGUGAGAUUAUUAUCAAACGCCUGGACAGCAAAAA